AGAGUUUGAUCAGGGCUCAGGAUGAACGCUAGCGGCAGGCCUAAUACAUGCAAGUCGGACGGGAUUGAGAAGCUUGCUUUUCAUGAGAGUGGCGCACGGGUGCGUAACACGUAUGUAACCUACCAUUGUCAGGGGGAUAGCCUCUCGAAAGAGAGAUUAACACCGCAUAACACUGAGAUCUGGCAUCAGAUUUCAAUCAAAUAUUUAUAGGACAAUGAUGGGCAUGCGGGACAUUAGCUAGAUGGUGAGGUAACGGCUCACCAUGGCGACGAUGUCUAGGGGAUCUGAGAGGAUGACCCCCCACACUGGUACUGAGACACGGACCAGACUCCUACGGGAGGCAGCAGUAAGGAAUAUUGGUCAAUGGAGGCAACUCUGAACCAGCCAUGCCGCGUGCAGGAAGACGGCCCUACGGGUUGUAAACUGCUUUUGUACCGGAAUAAACCUAGAUACGUGUAUCUAGCUGAAUGUACGGUAAGAAUAAGGAUCGGCUAACUCCGUGCCAGCAGCCGCGGUAAUACGGAGGAUCCAAGCGUUAUCCGGAUUUAUUGGGUUUAAAGGGUGCGUAGGCGGCUUGUUAAGUCAGGGGUGAAAGGCGGUAGCUUAACUAUCGGAGUGCCCUUGAUACUGACGAGCCUGAAUGCUGCUGAGGUAGGCGGAAUGUGACAAGUAGCGGUGAAAUGCAUAGAUAUGUCACAGAACACCGAUUGCGAAGGCAGCUUACUAAAGUGCGAUUGACGCUGAGGCACGAAAGCGUGGGGAUCAAACAGGAUUAGAUACCCUGGUAGUCCACGCCCUAAACGAUGAAUACUCGAUGUUGGCGAUAUACGGUCAGCGUCUAAGCGAAAGCGUUAAGUAUUCCACCUGGGGAGUACGCCCGCAAGGGUGAAACUCAAAGGAAUUGACGGGGGCCCGCACAAGCGGAGGAGCAUGUUGUUUAAUUCGAUGA
rnacentral:rRNA from 1 species